rnacentral:rRNA from 1 species
GACGAACGCUGGCGGCGUGCCUAAUACAUGCCAGUCGAGCGGACGGAUGGGAGCUUGCUCCCAGACCGUCAGCGGCGGACGGGUGAGUAACACGUGGGCAACCUGCCUGUAAGACUGGGAUAACUCCGGGAAACCGGGGCUAAUACCGGAUAACUCUUUCCCUCACAUGAGGGAAAGCUGAAAGAUGGCAUCUCGCUAUCACUUACAGAUGGGCCCGCGGCGCAUUAGCUAGUUGGUGAGGUAACGGCUCACCAAGGCGACGAUGCGUAGCCGACCUGAGAGGGGGAUUGGGCCCACUGGGACUGAGACCAGGCCCCGACUACUUCGGGAGGCAGCAGUAGGGAAUCUUCCGGAAUGGACGGAAGGCUGACGGAGCAACGACGCGUGAGUGAUGAAGGUUUUCGGAUCGUAAAACUCUGUUGUCAGGGAAGAACAAGUACCGGAGUAACUGCCGGUACCUUGACGGUACCUGACCAGAAAGCCACGGCUAACUACGUG